rnacentral:tRNA from 1 species
GGCGGACGUGGCCAAGUGGUUAAGGCAGUGGAUUGUGAUUCCGUGAUUCGCGGGUUCGAGUCCCGUCGUUCGCCCUCGCUAUCCAAAUUUCAAAUUUUUUG